rnacentral:rRNA from 1 species
ACGUAGGUGGCAAGCGUUGUCCGGAUUUAUUGGGUUUAAAGGGUGCGUAGGCGGCCCUGUAAGUCAGUGGUGAAAUACGGCAGCUCAACUGUCGAGGUGCCAUUGAUACUGCAGGGCUUGAGUACAGACGAGGUAGGCGGAAUUGACGGUGUAGCGGUGAAAUGCUUAGAUAUCGUCAAGAACACCGAUAGCGAAGGCAGCUUACUAGGCUGUAACUGACGCUGAGGCACGAAAGUGUGGGGAUCAAACAGGAUUAGAUACCCUGGUAGUCCACACUGUAAACGAUGAUUACUCGAUGUUGGCGAUACACGGCCAGCGUCUUAGCGAAAGCGAUAAGUAAUCCACCUGGGGAGUACGCCGGCAACGGUG